rnacentral:rRNA from 1 species
AGAGCUUGCUCUUCGAUUCAGCGGCGGACGGGUGAGUAAUACCUAGGAAUCUGCCUGGUAGUGGGGGACAACGUUUCGAAAGGAACGCUAAUACCGCAUACGUCCUACGGGAGAAAGCAGGGGACCUUCGGGCCUUGCGCUAUCAGAUGAGCCUAGGUCGGAUUAGCUAGUUGGUGAGGUAAUGGCUCACCAAGGCGACGAUCCGUAACUGGUCUGAGAGGAUGAUCAGUCACACUGGAACUGAGACACGGUCCAGACUCCUACGGGAGGCAGCAGUGGGGAAUAUUGGACAAUGGGCGAAAGCCUGAUCCAGCCAUGCCGCGUGUGUGAAGAAGGUCUUCGGAUUGUAAAGCACUUUAAGUUGGGAGGAAGGGUACUUACCUAAUACGUGAGUAUUUUGACGUUACCGACAGAAUAAGCACCGGCUAACUCUGUGCCAGCAGCCGCGGUAAUACAGAGGGUGCAAGCGUUAAUCGGAAUUACUGGGCGUAAAGCGCGCGUAGGUGGUU